rnacentral:lncRNA from 1 species
CUCCUUGUUCUUUUUUCUUUCUUUCUUUCUUGAUAAUAACUGGAACGAUAUCUUCAACACGGAUGGGCCGUGUGUACCUUCACACGCAUCUCCGGUCGAUACGGCUUGCGUCAAAUUUCACCUAGUGGCACUGCACACAUGCCGCCACUUGGUAAAUGGAACCAACCGAUACGAUUCGGCCUAAUUCCGGCUACAUCGGGUCGAUUAUUGGUAUACUCAUAGCGUGUGCUUGUAUGCACAGAGAGCCAUUCCAUUCGGGCAUGCAGCGCUCCCAUGCAUUCACAAACCUGUGGUC